UACGGAGGGAGCUAGCGUUGUUCGGAAUUACUGGGCGUAAAGCGCACGUAGGCGGCUUUGUAAGUUAGAGGUGAAAGCCCGGGGCUCAACCCCGGAAUUGCCUUUAAGACUGCAUCGCUUGAAUCCGGGAGAGGUGAGUGGAAUUCCGAGUGUAGAGGUGAAAUUCGUAGAUAUUCGGAAGAACACCAGUGGCGAAGGCAGCUCGCUGGGACGGUACUGACGCUGAGACGCGAAAGUGUGGGGAGCAAACAGG
rnacentral:rRNA from 1 species